rnacentral:rRNA from 1 species
GAGGAAUAUUGGACAAUGGGCGCAAGCCUGAUCCAGCCAUGCCGCGUGCAGGAUGACGGUCCUAUGGAUUGUAAACUGCUUUUGUACGAGAAGAAACACUGAUUCGUGAAUCAGCUUGACGGUAUCGUAAGAAUAAGGAUCGGCUAACUCCGUGCCAGCAGCCGCGGUAAUACGGAGGAUCCAAGCGUUAUCCGGAAUCAUUGGGUUUAAAGGGUCCGUAGGCGGUUUAGUAAGUCAGUGGUGAAAGCCCAUCGCUCAACGGUGGAACGGCCAUUGAUACUGCUGAACUUGAAUUAUUAGGAAGUAACUAGAAUAUGUAGUGUAGCGGUGAAAUGCUUAGAGAUUACAUGGAAUACCAAUUGCGAAGGCAGGUUACUACUAAUUGAUUGACGCUGAUGGACGAAAGCGUGGGGAGCGAAC